rnacentral:rRNA from 1 species
CUCCGGGUUGAUCCCGCCGGACCCGACUGCCAUCAGAGUGGGACUAAGCCAUGCGAGUCAACGUAGCAAUACGUGGCAUACGGCUCAGUAACACGUAGUCAACAUGCCCAGGGGACGAGGAUAACCUCGGGAAACUGAGGAUAAACCUCGAUAGGCCAUGAUUUCUGGAAUGAUUCUUGGCUCAAACCUAUAUGGCCCCUGGAUUGGACUGCGGCCGAUCAGGCUGUUGGUGAGGUAAUGGCCCACCAAACCUAUUACCGGUACGGGCUCUGAGAGGAGGAGCCCGGAGAUGGGCACUGAGACAAGGGCCCAGGCCCUAUGGGGCGCAGCAGGCGCGAAACCUCUGCAAUAGGCGAAAGCUUGACAGGGUUACUCUGAGUGAUUUCCGCUAAGGGAAUCUUUUGGCACCUCUAAAAAUGGUGCAGAAUAAGGGGUGGGCAAGUCUGGUGUCAGCCGCCGCGGUAAUACCAGCACCCCGAGUGGUCGGGACGAUUAUUGGGCCUAAAGCAUCCGUAGCCGGUCCUGCAAGUCUUCCGUUAAAUCCAGCUGCUCAACAGAUGGGCUGCGGGAGAUACUACAGGGCUAGGAGGCGGGAGAGGCAAGCGGUACUUUAUGGGUAGGGGUAAAAUCCGCUGAUCCAUAGAAGACCACCAGUGGCGAAGGCGGCUUGCCAGAACGCGCUCGACGGUGAGGGAUGAAAGCUGGGGGAGCAAACCGGAUUAGAUACCCGGGUAGUCCCAGCUGUAAACGAUGCAGACUCGGUGAUGAGUUGGCUUAUUGCUAACUCAGUGCCGCAGGGAAGCCGUUAAGUUUGCCGCCUGGGGAGUACGGUCGCAAGACUGAAACUUAAAGGAAAUUGGCGGGGGAGCA